rnacentral:rRNA from 1 species
UACGUAGGGUGCAAGCGUUAAUCGGAAUUACUGGGCGUAAAGCGUGCGCAGGCGGUUAUGUAAGUCAGGUGUGAAAUCCCCGGGCUUAACCUGGGAACUGCAUUUGUGACUGCAUAGCUAGAGUACGGUAGAGGGGGAUGGAAUUCCGCGCGUAGCAGUGAAAUGCGUAGAUAUGCGGAGGAACACCGAUGGCGAAGGCAAUCCCCUGGACCUGUACUGACGCUCAUGCACGAAAGCGUGGGGAGCAAACAGG